rnacentral:rRNA from 1 species
GCGCACCAGGCGCGAAACCUUCGCAAUGCAGGAAACUGCGACGAGGGAACUCCAAGUGCCUACGCUCAGCGUAGGCUGUUCUCAAGCCUAGAAAGCUUGAGGAGUAAGGGCUGGGUAAGACGGGUGCCAUCUGUGGUAGCAGUCAAUAGAUUCGAUUUGUUACUGCAAGGCAUAAGCCGCCGCGGUAAUACCCGCAGCCCAAGUGUGGCCGCUUUUAAUUGGGCCUAAAGCGUCCGUAGCCGGCCCGGUAAAUGCCUGGGUAAAUCGUGGAG